CAGGCCGUGAGUCCAAUAAGAGAAUGUCGGAGUUUCCUAUUUGGGGUCCAUAUAGAUUAUGUCCUCAAUCAAAUUAAAGGAAGGGACAUUUUAAGGGUAUGAGAUGUUUUUUUUUUCUUUUUUUUUUUACCAUGGCGAAAUUGUGAUUUUAAUUAUGGAUUACUUUACGAUAUGACAUAUACAUAUGAAUAACACUUGAAAAAAAAAAAAAACAAGGUGGCUUAUCAUGUAGCUCGAAUGGACCGAUUUGUUCUUUUUCUUCUUUAUUCAGAUUAUAAAUUCGA
rnacentral:lncRNA from 1 species